GACGAACCGAGCGAACGUUGUUCGGAAUCACUGGGCUUAAAGGGCGCGUAGGCGGGCCGCCAAGUCCGUGGUGAAAUCCCCCGGCUCAACCGGGGAAGUGCCUCGGAUACUGGCGGCCUCGAGGGGGGGGUAGGGGCGUGCGGAACUUCCGGUGGAGCGGUGAAAUGCGUAGAUAUCGGAAGGAACACCGGUGGCGAAAGCGGCGCGCUGGACCCCACUCUGACGCUGAGGCGCGAAAGCCAGGGAGCAAACGGG
rnacentral:rRNA from 1 species